rnacentral:rRNA from 1 species
ACUCCUACGGGAGGCAGCAGUGGGGAAUAUUGCACAAUGGGCGCAAGCCUGAUGCAGCCAUGCCGCGUGUAUGAAGAAGGCCUUCGGGUUGUAAAGUACUUUCAGCAGUGAGGAAGGUGGUAGUGUUAAUAGCACUAUCAUUUGACGUUAGCUGCAGAAGAAGCACCGGCUAACUCCGUGCCAGCAGCCGCGGUAAUACGGAGGGUGCGAGCGUUAAUCGGAAUUACUGGGCGUAAAGCGCAUGCAGGUGGUUUGUUAAGUCAGAUGUGAAAGCCCGGGGCUCAACCUCGGAAUUGCAUUUGAAACUGGCAGACUAGAGUACUGUAGAGGGGGGUAGAAUUUCAGGUGUAGCGGUGAAAUGCGUAGAGAUCUGAAGGAAUACCGGUGGCGAAGGCGGCCCCCUGGACAGAUACUGACACUCAGAUGCGAAAGCGUGGGGAGC